GAGUUUGAUCCUGGCUCAGAACGAACGUUGGCGGCGUGGAUUAGGCAUGCGAGUCGAACGCGAAAGGGUAGCAAUACCCGAGUAAAGUGGCGAACGGGUGAGUAACGCGUAGGAAGCCUGCCUUCGAGUGGGGGAUAACACUCCUAACGGGGUGCUAAUACCGCAUGAAACUAAGGGGUCGCAUGGCCCCAUAGUCAAAGGUGGCCUCUAUUUAUAAGCUACCGCUCAAAGAUGGUCCUGCGUCCCAUUAGCUAGUUGGUGGGGUAACGGCUCACCAAGGCUUCGAUGGGUAGCCGAUCUGAGAGGAUGACCGGCCACACUGGGACUGAGAUACGGCCCAGACUCCUACGGGAGGCAGCAGUCGAGAGGCUUCGGCAAUGGGGGAAACCCUGACCGAGCGACGCCGCGUGGAGGAUGAAGGCCUUUGGGUUGUAAACUCCUGUCAUGUGGGAAGAAACGCUAUCGUUCGAAUAGGGCGAUAGUUUGACGGUACCACAAGAGGAAGCUCCGGCUAACUCCGUGCCAGCAGCCGCGGUAAUACGGGGGGAGCGAACGUUGUUCGGAAUCACUGGGCGUAAAGGGUGCGUAGGCGGCCAAAUAAGUGAUGUGUUAAAUCCUCCGGCUCAACCGGAGAACCGCACGUCAUACUGCUUGGCUUGAGUGCAGCAGAGGAGACUGGAAUUCCCGGUGUAGCGGUGAAAUGC
rnacentral:rRNA from 1 species